AAUAGAUACCCAGGUAGUCCACGCCGUAAACGAUGAAUACUAGGUGUAGGGGUUGUCAUGACCUCUGUGCCGCCGCUAACGCAUUAAGUAUUCCGCCUGGGGAGUACGGUCGCAAGAUUAAAACUCAAAGGAAUUGACGGGGCCCGCACAAGCAGCGGAGCAUGUGGUUUAAUUCGAAGCAACGCGAAGAACCUUACCUAGACUUGACAUCUCCUGAAUUACCCUUAAUCGGGGAAGCCCUUCGGGGCAGGAAGACAGGUGGUGCAUGGUUGUCGUCAGCUCGUGUCGUGAGAUGUUGGGUUAAGUCCCGCAACGAGCGCAACCCUUAUUGUUAGUUGCUACCAUUUAGUUGAGCACUCUAGCGAGACUGCCCGGGUUAACCGGGAGGAAGGUGGGGAUGACGUCAAAUCAUCAUGCCCCUUAUGUCUAGGGCUACACACGUGCUACAAUGGCUGGUACAGAGAGAUGCUAAACCGCGAGGUGGAGCCAAACUUCAAAACCAGUCUCAGUUCGGAUUGUAGGCUGAAACUCGCCUACA
rnacentral:rRNA from 1 species